rnacentral:lncRNA from 1 species
AUUCUCACUCUCUGUGAUAGAGAUUGGCUGGGCAUGUUCUGGGCCAGGCCUGACGGCAUGACUCUACUUCAUGCUGCAGGCCUGUCUGGGUUUAGGUCCUCACUGUGGAUUAAGCUUAGGUCUGUUCCAGAAAUGUUUAUUUUGAGGGCCCAGUCUGAAGGAAGCAAACCAGCGAAGCUAUUCCUAUGGUCGUGGUAGGAGUACAAGAGUGUUAGCCCAACUGUGCAAGCGCACUUCAGCUGUCAACUGGAAUCACAUCUGAUUCCAUUCCGUUGGUCAAAGUGCGGAGCUAAGAACUCUACAUGUAUAAUGUCAUGUAAUUCCCCACGCCUCUCCAGCGUAGGUACUCU